UCCGGCUUAUCACCGGCAGUAUCCUUAAAGUACCCGGCAUUACCCACUGGUAACUAAGGAUAAGGGUUGCGCUCGUUGCGGGACUUAACCCAACAUCUCACGACACGAGCUGACGACAGCCAUGCAACACCUGUGAUAGUCCAGCCGAACUGACUGGCUAGUUUCUUAGCCAUACGACUAUCAUGUCAAGGCCUGGUAAGGUUUUUCGCGUAGCAUCGAAUUAAACCACAUGUUCCACCGCUUGUGCGGGUCCCCGUCAAUUCCUUUGAGUUUUAAUCUUGCGACCGUACUUCCCAGGCGGAGUGCUUAACGCGUUAGCUACGACACUGAGAUCAAAGUCCCAAUAUCUAGCACUCAUCGUUUACUGCGUGGACUAC
rnacentral:misc_RNA from 1 species